UCAAAGAUAAAUUAUGCUUCAGGGCAGUCUCCCAUUACUGAUUUGUGAAGCCCGAAUAUCUACAUUUUUUGGUGCAAAGAAAUAACUGGAUUCCCACUGUGGCCUUAUAUCUGGUGUGAGAAUUGGUAAAAGUAGUGUUGUAGAACACUGUGAAUGAUCAGGAAAGUUUCUAACAAGUUUUUUAAAAAUUAUGACAUCUGGAUACAUUAUUAUCCAAAACAACUGGGUUGGACUAGUCAGAUGUAAUUUGUGCAGAACCAGACUAAUACUUUGCAAAUGUAGGUCAAGUGGGUGGACAUCUGGGUGCAAUAUGCAGUAAAUAUGACUUACAUUCUGUGAACAAAACUGUCCUUCUGAUUCUCAUAUUCAACAUAAAUCCCAUGCAAAGCAUGUUGUGCUCCUCAGCAGAAGACAGUUUUGAUAAACAGAUUCAUUUUAGCCUUGUGGAAAAGUGUGAUAAUAAUGCAAGGGUAGCAUUGUGCAGAUGCGCUGGCACCUGUGCACAAACACUCC